AUGCAAGUCGAGCGGUAACAGGUGUAGCAAUACAUGCUGACGAGCGGCGAACGGGUGAGUAAUGCUUCGGAAUCUGCCCAAUGGUGGGGAAUAACCAGCCGAAAGGUUGGCUAAUACCGCAUAAGUCCCACGGGGGAAAGCAGGGGAUCGUAAGACCUUGCGCCGAUGGAUGAGCCGAAGUCGGAUUAGCUAGUUGGUAGGGUAACGGCCUACCAAGGCGACGAUCCGUAGCUGGUCUGAGAGGACGACCAGCCACACUGGGACUGAGACACGGCCCAGACUCCUACGGGAGGCAGCAGUGGGGAAUAUUGGACAAUGGGGGAAACCCUGAUCCAGCGACGCCGCGUGUGUGAAGAAGGCCUGCGGGUUGUAAAGCACUUUUAGUGGGGAUGAAAAGCUCAGGGCUAACACCUCUGGGUCUUGACCUAACCCAAAGAAAAAGCACCGGCUAACUCUGUGCCAGCAGCCGCGGUAAUACAGA
rnacentral:rRNA from 1 species